GUUUUAGUAGUUUAAUAAAAACACUGGUCUUGUAAACCAAYAUUAAGAUUCUUCUUCUAAAACU
rnacentral:tRNA from 1 species